rnacentral:rRNA from 1 species
AGUGAACGCUGGCGGUAGGCCUAACACAUGCAAGUCGAACGGCAGCACAGUAAGAGCUUGCUCUUACGGGUGGCGAGUGGCGGACGGGUGAGGAAUACAUCGGAAUCUACUUUUUCGUGGGGGAUAACGUAGGGAAACUUACGUUAAUACCGCAUACGACCUACGGGCGAAAGCAGGGGAUCUUCGGACCUUGCGCGAUUGAAUGAGCCGAUGUCGGAUUAGCUAGUUGGCGGGGUAAAGGCCCACCAAGGCGACGAUCCGUAGCUGGUCUGAGAGGAUGAUCAGCCACACUGGAACUGAGACACGGUCCAGACUCCUACGGGAGGCAGCAGUGGGGAAUAUUGGACAAUGGGCGCAAGCCUGAUCCAGCCAUACCGCGUGGGUGAAGAAGGCCUUCGGGUUGUAAAGCCCUUUUGUUGGGAAAGAAAAGCAGCAGGUUAAUACCCCGCUGUUCUGACGGUACCCAAAGAAUAAGCACCGGCUAACUUCGUG